ensembl:lincRNA
AUGGCGGCGGACACGCAGGUUUCCGAGACACUAAAGCGUUUUGCAGGGAAGGUGACAACAGCCAGUGUAAAGGAACGGAGAGAAAUCCUCAGUGAACUUGGGAAGUGUGUUGCUGGAAAAGAUCUUCCAGAGGGAGCAGUGAAGGGGCUCUGCAAAUUGUUCUGCUUGACUCUGCAUCGAUAUAGAGAUGCAGCCUCCCGCAGGGCCUUGCAGGCAGCCAUCCAGCAGUUGGCUGAGGCCCAGCCAGAAGCCACUGCUAAGAACCUUCUACACUCUCUGCAGUCUUCUGGUAUAGGCUCCAAAGCAGGUGUUCCCAGUAAGAGCAGUGGCUCUGCCGCCUUGCUGGCCUUGACCUGGACCUGCCUCCUGGUGCGCAUUGUCUUUCCAUCGAGAGCCAAGCGACAAGGAGACAUCUGGAACAAACUGGUGGAAGUGCAGUGCCUGCUCUUGCUGGAGGUGCUGGGUGGCUCCCACAAGCACGCCGUGGAUGGUGCUGUGAAGAAACUCACGAAGCUGUGGAAAGAGAACCCUGGGCUGGUGGAACAGUACUUGUCAGCCAUUCUCAGCCUAGAGCCCAACCAGAACUAUGCCGGCAUGCUGGGGCUGCUAGUGCAGUUCUGCACGAGUCACAAGGAGAUGGACGUGGUCAGUCAGCACAAGAGCGCCCUACUGGACUUUUACAUGAAGAACAUCCUGAUGAGCAAAGUCAAGCCUCCGAAGUACCUGUUGGAUAGCUGUGCCCCUCUGCUCCGAUACCUGUCCCACUCAGAAUUUAAGGAUCUGAUACUGCCCACCAUACAGAAGUCCUUACUGAGGAGUCCAGAGAAUGUUAUUGAAACUAUUUCUAGUCUGCUGGCAUCAGUGACGCUUGACCUCAGCCAGUAUGCCAUGGACAUCGUGAAAGGACUGGCUGGUCACCUGAAAUCCAACAGUCCCCGCCUGAUGGAUGAAGCUGUGCUGGCACUGCGGAACCUGGCACGCCAGUGCAGUGACUCUUCGGCCAUGGAAUCCCUGACCAAGCACCUAUUUGCUAUCCUCGGAGUUUUUUGUAGGAACAUUCUUUUUUGAGUCAGAAAGCAAAAGGCUAGUAAAAGUUGUUUUAAACCCAGCUUCACAACACAAAGGCUACUUCUGGAAUCAGAAACCGUAUCGUGGCAUCACACACGUGACUGCAUUGUUCACUCUCUUGGGAAAUGUGGCAUAUGUGAAUGUGAAUCUUUGCUGUCUCUCUUCUCAGGCUCGGAAGGAAAACUAACUGUUGUAGCCCAGAAGAUGAGCGUCCUCUCAGGUAUAGGAUUUCUCUUUUUUUUUUUUUUUUUUUUUUUUUGAGAGAAAGUCUUGCUGUGUCAUCUAGGAUAGAGUGCAGUGGUGCCAUCUCAGCUCACUGCAACCUCUGCCUCCCAGGUUCAAGCGAUCCUCAUGCCUCAGCCUCCUUAGUAGCUGGGAUUACUGGUGCGCACCACCACGCCUGCUAAUUUUUUUGUAUUUUUAGUAGAGAUGGGGUUUCACCAUAUUGGCCAGGCUGGUCUUGAACUCCUGGCGUCAAGUGAUCUGCCCGCCUCAGCCUCCCAAAGUGCUGGGAUUACAGGCAGGUACAGGAUUUCUCUGCCAGGAGUAGAGCUGUGAUCUGGUAGUAGAUAAGCUUUUUUUUUUUUUUUUUUUUUUUUUUGAGAUGGAGUCUCACUCUGUCGCCAGGCUGGAGCGCAGUGGCACAAUCUUGGCUCACUGCAACCUCUGCCUCCUGGGUUCAAGCAAUCCUCCUGCCUCAGCCUCUUGAGUAGCUGGGACUACAGGCACACACCACCACAUCCAG